ensembl:lncRNA MIR4435-2HG MIR4435-2 host gene
AGUCGUGUGUACAUCAUUGGGAAUGGAGGGAAAUAAAUGACUGGAUGGUCGCUGCUUUUUAAGUUUCAAAUUGACAUUCCAGACAAGCGGUGCCUGAGCCCGUGCCUGUCUUCAGAUCUUCACAGCACAGUUCCUGGGAAGGUGGAGCCACCAGCCUCUCCCUGCCCUAGCAGAUGCUAAUCCAGCGUGCGUCCUGGCAGAGGUUGAAGGGGGCUCCUCAAGUCCCAGGUCCAGCUUGGUGUGGUUCAGCUACUCGAGAGACAUCUGCUGCUAAUGGAUGAGCAGUCAACCUGGACGCAGGAAAUCAUUUUUUAUUUGGACAAGCAAAGUGGAUCAGCAAAGGCUGCAGUCACCAGCAUCUUUUCCAACCUUAAUGAACUGUAUCCUCAAAAGAACACUAUCAGACUGGCUCUGCCGACUUCCAGUUCUGGAACAAGAUGGUUAAACUCAUUUUUCCCUGCUCUGCUCCUCUAAAUACAACUAAGUACCUUGGAAACUAUUCAGCAGACAAUGAUAAAGGGCUCUGAAAGCUAGAAGAAAAGGUGUACUUGCAAGAAACCUCAGGACUUGAGUAACAGCAACAUGUCUUGGACGAGCCUGAGGAUGUCUACAAGUGGAAGAAAAGAAGCCACUGGAGCAGAAGGUGGGGAGGAUAAAAUUUGGAGCAAGAUUCUCAAGGAAGCAACAAGAUCCUAAGCUCACCAAGCUCCUGUAUCUACUGGAAAAUGGAAGUCCAGCCUUACCAACUUGUGAACCUUGUCUGAAGGGAGCCAGGGCCUGCCAAUGGAACCACCUCCAGGAGCUGCAACUGCUGUUGUCAUUAAUACCAUUGUGUCUAUUUUUUGAGAGAGAUAAACUUUUCAUGGUGUUACAUUUUGGAAAAAAAAAAAAAAGACUAGGUGAACAGUCAGGUAGGAAAGCAGCAUAACAGUCCCUUAAAUUCUGAUCAUGUAGGACAUUCUUCUUUGCCCUGGGCCUGGGAAAAUGCAGCAUGUUCCAGAGCAAAAGUCCUAAUGAGGGGAACUAAACCAGUGGGACCCAAACCAAUGUCCUGGCUCACUGAGGACCCGUUAGAACCAAAUCUCUGGGUGUGGACAGGCUCCCAUACUUUUCAAAAAUUCCCCUGAUGACUAAUGAACAACCAGAGGUAAGAACCAGUGGCCCAGAGGAAUAACCAGCCCAGCUGUUGUACGAGCUCGCUAAGCUGGCUCAGGUCAAUGUUGAAUUCUCUGCUAGGCAGCUCCUCAUAAGAACUGGCAGAGAUGGUUCUUACACAACAACAGGUGACAACUCCAGACUCUGCCGGAAGUUCCAGGAUCUGGGUUCCCGGACAAUGCAUGACACUCAGUCCAGCAUUGCAGGUGGAAGAGCGACGGUGAAAAGACCAAAGUCAAUUAAAAUGUGUUAACCAAAACAGGAAACAUGAGUGAGGUGAUUGAGAGUGUGUUUAACUUAGAUGUGUGAUUUUAUCAAUACUUUCAUUGUUCAAAAACUCUUAUUUUUUAAAGAUAUUUUCAAAACAAAUCCAAACUUUACUUUUCAUUCCAAA